AGAUGUACCUGGCAGGGGAGAUACUCUGAUCACAAAGUGGCUUUCCCAGGAUGAGGCUUAUCCAUUGCACUCCAGAUGUGCCGACCCCUGAGAUUUCCCAAAGUGUAGGAAACUUGACUGCAUAAUUUAUGGUAAUGGGGGACUGUGUGUGCACUUUCCCUUA
ensembl:snRNA U1 U1 spliceosomal RNA